CGCUGGCGGCGUGCCUCAGACAUGCAAGUCGAACGAUUAAAGCUUCUCUUCGGAGAGUGUAUAGAGUGGCGCACGGGUGAGUAACACGUAAGUAAUCUACCCUCGAGUGGGGAAUAACAACCGGAAACGGUUGCUAAUACCGCAUAAUGCAGCGGCACCGCAAGGUGACAGUUGUUAAAGAUUUAUCGCUUGAGGAGGAGCUUGCGGCAGAUUAGCUAGUUGGUAGGGUAACGGCUUACCAAGGCUACGAUCUGUAACCGGUCUAAGAGGACGGUCGGUCACACUGACACUGAAUAACGGGUCAGACUCCUACGGGAGGCAGCAGUCGGGAAUUUUGGGCAAUGGGCGAAAGCCUGACCCAGCAACGCCGCGUGAAGGAUGAAGUAUUUCGGUAUGUAAACUUCGAAAGAAUAGGAAGAAUUAAUGACGGUACUAUUUAUAAGGUCCGGCUAACUACGUG
rnacentral:rRNA from 1 species